rnacentral:rRNA from 1 species
GACGAACGCUGGCGGCGUGCUUAACACAUGCAAGUCGAACGGAAAGGCCCUGCUUUUGUGGGGUGCUCGAGUGGCGAACGGGUGAGUAACACGUGAGUAACCUGCCCUUGACUUUGGGAUAACUUCAGGAAACUGGGGCUAAUACCGGAUAGGAGCUCCUGCUGCAUGGUGGGGGUUGGAAAGUUUCGGCGGUUGGGGAUGGACUCGCGGCUUAUCAGCUUGUUGGUGGGGUAGUGGCUUACCAAGGCUUUGACGGGUAGCCGGCCUGAGAGGGUGACCGGCCACAUUGGGACUGGGAUACGGCCCGGACUCCAACGGGAGGAAGCGGUGGGGAAUAUUGCACAAUGGCGGAAGCCUGAUGCAGCAACGCCGCGUGCGGGAUGACGGCCUUCGGGUUGUAAACCGCUUUCGCCUGUGACGAAGCGUGAGUGACGGUAAUGGGUAAAGAAGCACCGGCUAACUACGUG